rnacentral:lncRNA from 1 species
GCCGCUCCUCGAUCUCCCCUCGCACUGCCUCCUCCCUCGCCUUCGCCGCCCCACCUCCGGCCGUCUCCUCCUUCACCUCCGCCUCAAACCUCUCUCCUCCUCCUCCUACACCACCACCACCACCACCACCACCAGUAGCUCCACCUCCUCCUCGCGAGCGCCUCAAGUUCCACCUAGUCUCCAUGGCCCCUCGCUCCGCCGCGGCCGCCGCCUGCCCGGCGAAACUGACGGCCUGCUCUCCUUC